UGCCACUGCACUCCAGCCUGGUCAACAGAGUGAGACUCCGUCUCAAAAACAAAAACAAAAAACAAACAACUGUUUUGAAUGACUGGGAAAAUGAGGGAGGCCUAUAAGGAGGGGGGUCACUAGAAGGUCCAGCCCCAGAAGGAAGCCUCAGCAUUGGGAUUAGAUGAAUAUCCUGGCCACCUACCUCCCUGCUGACAAGGACUAUGGAUUUAUGACAGUGGAUGAGCCCAACAGUCCUUACCACAGGGGCUAAGCCCUCAGCCCCAACCCUUCAGUCCAGAGAUUCUUCUCUGUUUAAAGGAGGGGACAGGUGGAGGAGGCAGAGAGAUCUUUAGGGACUGGAUACUGCCUGACCCCCCACCUCCCAGCGCUGCUUCCCCCUCCUCUGCAGGCUGCAGGACAGUUUUGAGGACCUCUCUGCUGGUUCCUCCUGCUCAGUGAAUCCUGGAGUGCUGGCAGAGAGGUUCCGCCAGGACUGUGCUGACAGGAGCUCGGGGCCUGUAGACAACUUUUCCAAGACACAUGAUGUAGGGUCCAGCCCUACGGAGCUUAGCAAGUGUUCUCCCUGUGUGCGAAGACGAGAGAUUGUAAUAAAUUAAGACACAAGACAAAGAGAUAAAGAGAAAGCAGCUGGGCCUGGGGGACCACUACCAUCAAGACGCAGAGACCAACAGUGGCCCCGAAUGGCUGGGCGCGCUGAUAUUUAUUACAGGCAGGGUAAGGAGGGUGAAUCUUCUAAGUGAUUGACAAGGUGCAGCAAGUCACGUGAUCACAGGACGGGGUCCCUUCCUUUUAGGUAGCCGAAGUAGAGACAGAGAAGGCAACAUACGUCAGCGUUUUCUUCUAUGCACUUAUAAGAUCAAAGACUUUAAGACUUCCACUAUUUCUUCUACCUCUAUCUACUACAAACUUCAAAGAGGAACCAGGAGUACGGGAGGAACAUGAAAGCGGACAAGGAGCGGUGACCAUUGAAGCACAGCACCACAGGGAGGGGUUUAGGCCUCCGGAUGACUGCGGGCAGGCCUGGAUAAUAUCCAGCCUUCCACAAGAAGCUGGUGGAGCAGAGUGUUCCCUGACUCCUCCAAGGAAAGGACACUCCCUUUCGCAGUCUGCUAAGUAAUGGGUGUCUUCCCAGGCACUGGCAUUAGCGCUUGACCAAGGAGCCCUCAAGCGGCCCUUAUGUGGGCGUGACAGAAGGCUCACCUCUUGCCUUCUAGGUCAUUUCUCACAAUGUUCCUUUAGCUCCUGACCCUACACCCGCCGGUUAUUCCUAGGUUAUAUUAGUAAUGCAACAGAGAGUAAUAUUAAAAGCUAAUGAUUAAUAAUG